rnacentral:rRNA from 1 species
ACGGAGGAUGCAAGUGUUAUCCGGAAUCACUGGGCGUAAAGCGUCUGUAGGUGGUUUGAGAAGUCCACUGUUAAAAAUUGAGGCUUAACCUCAAAGAUGCCGUGGAAACUUUCAAACUUGAGUAUGGUAGGGGUAGAGGGAAUUUCCAGUGGAGCGGUGAAAUGCGUAGAUAUUGGAAAGACCACCGAUGGCGAAGGCACUCUACUGGGCCAUUACUGACACUGAGAGACGAAAGCUAGGGGAGCAAAUGGGA